rnacentral:rRNA from 1 species
UGGGGAAUAUUGCACAAUGGAGGGAACUCUGAUGCAGCGACGCCGCGUGAGUGAAGAAGUAAUUCGUUAUGUAAAGCUCUAUCAGCAGGGAAGAAAGUGACGGUACCUGAAAAAGAAGCUCCGGCUAAAUACGUGCCAGCAGCCGCGGUAAUACGUAUGGAGCAAGCGUUAUCCGGAUUUACUGGGUGUAAAGGGAGAGUAGGUGGCAGAGCAAGUCCGAAGUGAAAACCCAAAGCUCAACUAUGGGAAUGCUUUAGAAACUGCUCAGCUAGAGUGCAGGAGAGGCAAGUGGAAUUCUUAGUGUAGCGGUGAAAUGCGUAGAUAUUAGGAGGAACACCAGUGGCGAAGGCGGCUUGCUGGACUGUAACUGACACUGAGGCUCGAAAGCGUGGGGAGCAAACAGG